GACGAACGCUGGCGGCGUGCUUAACACAUGCAAGUCGAACGGAAAGGCCCUGCUUUUGUGGGGUGCUCGAGUGGCGAACGGGUGAGUAACACGUGAGUAACCUGCCCUUGACUUUGGGAUAACUUCAGGAAACUGGGGCUAAUACCGGAUAGGAGCUCCUGCUGCAUGGUGGGGGUUGGAAAGUUUCGGCGGUUGGGGAUGGAUUCGCGGCUUAUCAGCUUGUUGGUGGGGUAGUGGCUUACCAAGGCUUUGACGGGUAGCCGGCCUGAGAGGGUGACCGGCCACAUUGGGCCUGAGAUACGGCCCAGACUCCUACGGGAGGCAGCAGUGGGGAAUAUUGCACAAUGGGCGGAAGCCUGAUGCAGCAACGCCGCGUGCGGGAUGACGGCCUUCGGGUUGUAAACCGCUUUCGCCUGUGACGAAGCGUGAGUGACGGUAAUGGGUAAAGAAGCACCGGCUAACUACGUG
rnacentral:rRNA from 1 species